rnacentral:snRNA from 1 species
UUACUUACCAGGCAGGGGAGACACCAUGAUCACGAAGGUGGUUUUCCCAAGGUGAGACUUGUCCAUUGCACUCCAGAUGUGCUGACCCCUGCAGUAUCCCUAAAUGUGGGAAACUCGACCGCAUAGUUUGUGGUAGUGGGGGACUACAUUUGCGCUCUCCCCUG